AUGGCUUUCGUGAUUUAUUCCAUGGGCCACAUCCUCGCACCGUCUACUAAGCAUGACGUGUCAGUAAUAGAUUACUGGGCAGCUAUUGCAAACACGGAUAAAAUCGUGGACUUCAACUUUUGCGAGUAUGUAUUUGCUGAUUUACUGGCAGCUUACUGGCAGCUUGCGAGUAUGUAUUUACUGAUGCUUGUUCUUACACUGCCCACAAAGCUAGCCAUGUUAUUAUUGCUGACAAGCUUCACGACGCCCUCUUCACAUGUUUCAAAAAGUAUUUCAAAUCAUGGCAUGUUGACUCAACUAAUUGGAAGAAAAAUUUCCAGUUUCUCUCCGCCACAUUGUUUGACGAGAGCGGUGUCUGUAUGCUUCACAUCGCUCGUCACUUCAAUGGCAUCGGACUUGCUUCUAAGCUUUCCAAUGAAACACUUGCUCAUCGGAAGAAACUCAUGGCGGCCGAGUUACUGCAGCUAG
rnacentral:rRNA from 1 species